ACGGAAGGCAGCAGUAGGGAAUAUUGCACAAUGGGGGAAACCCUGAUGCAGCAACGCCACGUGUGGGAAGAAGCAUUUCGGUGUGUAAACCACUGUCGUGAAGGAAUAAUGCUGGACCUCGGUCCAGUUGAAUGUACUUUGAAAGGAAGCACCGGCAAACUUCGUGCCAGCAGCCGCGGUAAUACGAGGGGUGCAAGCGUUGUUCGGAAUCACUGGGCGUAAAGGGAGCGCGGGCGGAGAUGCAAGCGGUCUGUACAAUCCCGGGGCCUAACCCCGGACCUGCAGACCGGACUGUUUCUCUUGGAUAGUUCAGGGGCAAGCGGAAUUCCUGGUGUAGCGGUGGAAUGCGUAGAGAUCAGGAAGAACACCGAUGGCGAAGGCAGCUUGCUGGGGACUUAUCGACGCUCAUGCUCGAAAGUGCGGGUAGCAAACAGGAUUAGAUACCCUGGUA
rnacentral:rRNA from 1 species